AUACUUACCUGGCAGGGAGAUACCAUGGUUACCUCGAAGGUGAUUUUCCCAGGGCAAGGUUUAUCCUUCAGAUGUGUUGUCACCUGCAACUUCCUGAAAUGGGGGAAGCUUGGCAGCAUAAUUUAUGGUAGUGGGGGACUGUGUUCAUGCUCUUCCCUU